CCGAAUGAAAUGUAAAAUGUGUGGACCGGUAAUUAUGUGAAUGGAAAUACUUAUGUUUUAUGUUGUUUUGUUAUGUUUACUGCAUUAAUAAACAAUGAGGUAAGCUGUUUUCUUUAAUUUAAUCGAUAUUGGAUUAAAUGUUCACCUUACUUUAUUUUUUAAUGUGUUGAAGGUGACAUUAGUAAAUUUGUAUUACGAUUGCCCCCGAGUUGUUUUAUUUUUAGAACACUACACAUAUCCGGAUGUUGCUAUUUUAAGAACCAGAAGGUAUUUCCCCGCUAUUCAUAGGUCAAUAAUGGAAUUUCUACAUCGUCGAUUAAUAAAUCGGUUUUGUCAUGAAUAUACGUUUAAAAUAAGUAAACACUAAAAGUGCACACUGACAGUUGAUUACGAUACAUCUAACAAUUUGAGUCAUUACAGUAAAACAUGGAUUAUAAGUGAAUUAUACGCGUAAGAGAAGAUUUUCUGUCGAAAAAACUAAUGUCAACAAUCAGCAUGGAAUUGGGAUAUUCCUAUCAAAGGGCUAUUCAUGCAGGAAAAGGACUGAAUAUUACUAUUAUAUGAAGAAUUCCAGCAUGCAUUAAAUACUAUGUUGGAUCAUUGAGACAGAUUUGACAUCCAUGUCUAUCCACAUCUGAUAGAGAUGAUCACUAAACAUUCUAGAUGGGUAAAGACCUGUUAAAUCAGCAUUGACUCAGCAUUGAGUAAUUUUCAUCUGUGCAGACACUACAAGUACAAACGCAUGGGAACAAACCAAACUUCAAAUAAUGAAGAGUGAAGAAUUAUUGUGAAAAGUUCUAAAUGUUAGAAUACCAUUGACUAAAUAAAUCAAAUAGACAUCGAUUACCAGCAGAGACUGUUUACAUGUUAUAAUAUUAAAAAGACAUUAGUUGAGAACUUUCACUCUGACAUUUUUGGAGGGGCAUUACCGCCUACUUAGUGUUCUUGUUUCUUUACAUAUUUUAAUUUAAAAGUACAUUCAUUGUUUUUAAAUCUGAAUUCUGAGUUAGUAUCAUAAGUAAAAUUCAUUUAUUUGAUUGAUUACAUUUUAUGAAUAAGUCCAAUUGAGCUUUUUACAAGAAAAAGGUUGAUUUUUAAGCAUUUUAUUAGUUAUAAAAAUGUAUAGUUACAUGACAUUAUGUAUAUUUUCUUCAAAACUGAACGGUAAACUAUCAUAAAUUAUCUUUUGAAUUGUUCAUUAGACAUCAUAGAAAAUAUUUAAAUGAUUUCAGCAGGUUGUCUUAUUAUUAACUAUUUUUUAUGAAUUUAUAAAACUGCUAUAUAUUUUCAAACAUCGAAAUACUGCUCUGUUCCGAAGACUCACAAGAUCAAUCAAAAUGAUUUUUUUCCCAUGUGUAUCAAUAAUAUGUUCGGUUGAACGUAAUUUUUCUAUUAACUGAAGUUUAUUUUACCAGAAACUGUUGUGUUUAUUUCAUAAUCUCUGAUAAUGUGAAAAAAAAUCAAAUAAAGACAAAAUAUUUUUAAUUAAUAGUAAAAAAUCUUCCAAAUUUGGAUAAAAGUCCCAUAGUGUACCAUGAUAAUAACUAUGUUGUCCGUAAAAGCUUUAUAAAAGUGUGUAUUACUUAUACCUUAAUUCAGUUCAAAUAAUUAUGGCCUUUAAGGAUUUGUGUUUUCAUAAUAUAGAUUUCCUGUUAUAUUGAGCUUUGUCAAUUUGUGUUGAUGUUUUGUUUUAUGUACAAUUACUACUUCUAUUUCCUAACUUUUGUCUCAUUUGUCAAAUUGAAUUGUUACAUAUUUAAGUGAAAAAACACACACACUAUUUUUAAAGAUGCACUCUUACUCCCCAAUAAGACUUAUGAUAAUUAAUAUUAUUGUUUUCAUUUUUCAAAAUGGGUUGAUAGAUGUCAACAACAAUGUUUCUAAUGAAGGAGUUCAAUUUGCUAAUAAGAAUGAACUUAAAACAUGGUAUUUCUGCCUUGUGAUACUAUAGUAGACCACAGUAAAUCUUUUAGCAAUCACCAAUUGAUCAAUUAAUAUUUGUCAUGCAUUCUGCUGUUAUAAAAAGGGUGACAAGCUUGUUAUCAGUAAACGAUAUUUCAGUAAAUGCAUUAUUUAGUAAGUAGUUAUUGUUUUUUCACUCAAUUUAAUGUGUGUUAUAUAUACAAUUAUAUGUAUUGAUUUCAAAUAAGAGUUUCACUUUAAAGAUGCUCAUUUAAAGAUAAUGAACAGACACACAAAACUAGCCACAUUUGAUACUAAUUAUACGUAUGAUUAUUGUUUUAUAUAUAAGUGACCUCUGAUUUGUUUUGGAGAUAUUCAUAAAUGGGUGUUAUUCUUUAUUGUCUUCAUUUUCUUAUACAUUUAAGGAUUUUUAUAAUUGCUUUUCUGGUAUAUAUUACAUGAUUUCAAAUAAGAGUUUCACUUUAAAGAUGCUCAUUUAAAGAUAAUGAACAGACACACAAAACUAGCCACAUUUGAUACUAAUUAUACGUAUGAUUAUUGUUUUAUAUAUAAGUGACCUCUGAUUUGUUUUGGAGAUAUUCAUAAAUGGGUGUUAUUCUUUAUUGUCUUCAUUUUCUUAUACAUUUAAGGAUUUUUAUAAUUGCUUUUCUGGUAUAUAUUACAAUGUAAUUUAAUGCAAAUGAAAACACACUUUAAACUGGACACAUUUGAUACUAAUGAUAUGAAUGCUUAUUGUUUACAUGUACUCUGAUUUGUUAUGAAGAUAUUCAUAAAGGGGUGUUCUUCAUGUUAUUAUACAUUUUGGACUUGAUUUAGUAUUGCUUUUCUGGUAUAUAUUCAUUUACUGCACAAAGAAAUUAUUUUAAGUGUUCAGUAUCACUUUCACACAUUGUUUACUAUUAUCUGUUUUGCAUAUUUGGCCUAUUUAUGCUUAUAUGUGCAUUGUUGUAUUUCAAAAUCUUUGUGAAAAAUAGAAACAGUAUUAUUUCCUUCAUACAUAGUCUGAUAGAUAUUCAGUUUGAAUGCGUUAUUUUUAUCAUAUUUGAAAAAAAUGCCAUUGUCCAAUAAGACACAUGCUGUUUUUGUGUUAAUAUCAAAUAAAACAUCCAUUUUCUACUCUUCUUUACUAUGUAAAUGAAGAAGUUAACAUUAGUAUUA